rnacentral:tRNA from 1 species
UAGCUCAGUCAGAUGAGCGUGGCGCUAACAAUGCCAAGGUCGCGGGUUCGAUUCCCGU